CCUACGGGUGGCUGCAGUGGGGAAUAUUGCACAAUGGGCGCAAGCCUGAUGCAGCCAUGCCGCGUGUGUGAAGAAGGCCUUCGGGUUGUAAAGCACUUUCAGCGGGGAGGAAGGCGGUGAGGUUAAUAACCUCAUCGAUUGACGUUACCCGCAGAAGAAGCACCGGCUAACUCCGUGCCAGCAGCCGCGGUAAUACGGAGGGUGCAAGCGUUAAUCGGAAUUACUGGGCGUAAAGCGCACGCAGGCGGUCUGUCAAGUCGGAUGUGAAAUCCCCGGGCUCAACCUGGGAACUGCAUUCGAAACUGGCAGGCUAGAGUCUUGGAGAGGGGGGUAGAAUUCCAGGUGUAGCGGGGAAAUGCGUAGAGAUCUGGAGGAAUACCGGUGGCGAAGGCGGCCCCCUGGACAAAGACUGACGCUCAGGUGCGAAAGCGUGGGGAGCAAACAGGAUUAGAUACCCGAGUAGUC
rnacentral:rRNA from 1 species